rnacentral:rRNA from 1 species
UACGAAGGGGGCUAGCGUUGUUCGGAAUUACUGGGCGUAAAGCGCGCGCAGGCGGUUUUCCAAGUCAGUGGUGAAAGCCCGGAGCUCAACUCCGGAACUGCCAUUGAAACUGUUAAACUUGAGGACGAGAGAGGUGAGUGGAAUUCCCAGUGUAGAGGUGAAAUUCGUAGAUAUUGGGAAGAACACCAGUGGCGAAGGCGGCUCUCUGGAACGCAACUGACGCUGAGACGCGAAAGCGUGGGGAGCAAACAGG